AUGGCCAUGAGUAUGGCAACCGGCGCCAUGGGCUCCCUGCUGCCCAAGCUGAUCGAGCUCCUCAAGGACGAGUACAAGCUGAAGGAGAGCGUCAAGGAAGGCGUCAGAUCUCUUGAGCAAGAGAUGAAGAGCAUGCAAGCUGCGCUCUGCAAGGUGGGCGAGGUGCCACGGGACCAGCUCGGCGAGCAGGUCAAGGUCUGGGCAGGGGAGGUGAGAGAGCUCUCCUUCCACAUGGAGGAUGUCGUCGACAAGCAUUUGGUGCAUGUCGAUGAUGGCUCCAAGCCAGCAACCAACUCGAACAAGCUCAAGCGGCUCACAAAGCAGAUGGCUGGAUUGUUCACCAAGGGGAAGGCACGCCAUGAGAUCGCUGAUGCAAUCAAGGGCAUCAGUAAGCAAGUCCAAGAGGUUGCUAACCGGCAUGCUAGGUACAAUGUCGACAGUAUCGUCCCUAGGCCUGCAGCGGUGACACUCAAUCCUCUCCUUCAGGCGCUUUACACGGAGGUGACAGAGCUCACUGGCAUUAAUGGGAAAAGAGACGAAGUGCUAAUAAAGUUGCUCUCAAAUGAAGACAAUUUAUCCAACAAAAAGUUGAAGAUUGUCUCUGUUGUUGGAUUUGGAGGAUUGGGCAAGACCACUCUUGUCAAAACGGUUUAUGACAAGAUCAAAGGAGAUUUCAAUUGCAGUGCUUUUGUUUCUGUCGGUCGAAACGCUGCUCCGAAGAAGGUUUUUGAUGGACAUUUUUCUUGA
rnacentral:rRNA from 1 species